rnacentral:rRNA from 1 species
CCUGAGAAACCCAAAAGAUCGAAUGGGGAGAUUCAGCGCUGGCGUGGCUGGCUUCCGUGCGGCUCGCGAUGCCCGGGACCUCGGUCUCGCGGCACGCGGCCGCUGCGGUAUGCCCGGCUACGUCGGCGUGCACUUCUCCCCUAGUAGGACGUCGCGACCCGUUGGGUGUCGGACCGAUGGCCGUUUGGUCGCCUGUCUCGUCGCGUUUACGCGUGCACGUGGCAGACCGCAACGGUCGAGCGUCCGGCUGCCCGGCGGUAUACAACGCUAUUGAACGGUAAUGAGCCGCAUUAAGUGCGUUCAGGCUCGUCGGCAGGCUCGUCUCGCCCGGAUUUACGGACCUAGCGCCGUUGCCGGGUGCUUGGCGCGGCCGUUAGUCCGCGAUGUCCUCGGACUGGCUCUGAAAUUCGAAAGGAUUACCGGUCGGCGACGCUACUGCUUUGGGUACUUUC